rnacentral:SRP_RNA from 1 species
GUCAGGUGUGGUGGUGCACACCUGUAGUCUCAGCUACUUGGGAGGCUGAGGUGGGGGGAUUGCUUGAGGCCAGGAGGUCAAGGCUGCAGUGAGCCAUGAUUGCACCACUGCACUCCAGCCUGGGCAACAGAGCAAGACUUUGUCUCAA